rnacentral:rRNA from 1 species
UACGUAGGGAGCAAGCGUUGUCCGGAUUUAUUGGGCGUAAAGAGCUCGUAGGCGGCUUAGAAAGUCAGGUGUGAAACCUCCAGGCUCAACCUGGAGACGCCACUUGAUACUUCUAUGGCUUGAGUUCGGUAGGGGUAAGCGGAAUUCCUGGUGUAGCGGUGGAAAUGACGCAGAUAUCAGGAGGAACACCGAUGGCGAAGGCAGCUUACUGGGCCGAUACUGACGCUGAGGAGCGAAAGCGUGGGGAGCGAACAGG